GAUGAAGAACGUAGCAAAAUGCGAUACGUAAUGUGAAUUGCAGAAUUCAGUGAAUCAUCGAAUCUUUGAACGCAUAUUGCGCUCUCUGGUAUUCCGGAGAGCAUGCUUGUUUGAGUAUCAGUAAACACCUCAACUCCCUUUUCUUUUUUGAAAUUGGAGCUGGACUUGAGUGAUCCCAACGCUUUCUUCCAAGAAAGUGGCGGGUUGCUUGAAAUGCAGGUGCAGCUGAACUUUUCUCUGAGCUAUAAGCAUAUCUAUUUAGUCUGCCUAAAAAACAGAUUAUUACCUUUGCUGCAGCUAACAUAAAGGAGACUAGUUCUUGUGCUGACUGAUGCAGGAUUCACAGAGACAGCUUCGGCUGACUUUGUAAACUCGAUCUCAAAUCAAGUAAGACUACCCGCUGAACUUAAGCAUAUCAAUAAGCGGAGGA
rnacentral:misc_RNA from 1 species